AGAGAACCUUUAUAUAUCAAAAUAUACAAGCGUAUUUUAAACUUUGGGCAUGAAUUACAUUUCCAAAUAGGUGUAACUAAGUUCUCUCAAGUAAUGCUUCGGUUUGUUCAGUUAGAUUUAAAAUUAAUAACAAUGACUACCCAUGGCUAACUUGUAUACAGCGUAUCUUAAAUAACAUUAGUUUAAACCAUAUUUGGAAUAAUCCAUCUAGGUACUCCACCCCAUGGUUAGUUUCGAACGCUGAAAGAAUUCUAAAAGAACAGUUCUUUCAAAAUUGGAAAGGCGAUAUUUCUGCAAGCCCUAAAGGUUUAUAUUAUUGCUAUUUCAAACAGUCUUUUGGGUUUGAUUCAUACCUUCUUCCGAACUUAUGAAAUUGCGAACAUCAAGCCAUAACUUUCCUGUUGAAACAGGCCGAUGGAAUGGAGUACCAAGAGCUGAAAGACUUUGUCCUCUCUGUAGCUCACCUGCUAUAGCAGAUGCUUUCCAUUACCUUCUCAAGUGCGAAACCUUCACCCAAGAGAGAUCUAUAUAUAUUUCCAAAAGAUUCUGCCAAUUCCCAAACUUAUCUAAAAUGGCAAUCCUUCUUCAAUCAAAAGAGACAAGCAUCCUACGUAACCUUUCCAGAUACCUUAAAUUAAUAUCAUCAAAACUUAGGAGAAAACCCCCUACAUUCCAUAAAAAACCUCCAUCCGUUAUUUGUUUCCAUGCCUGGUUUAUUCGUAUGACAUUUGUGUGUAUAUCUGAUAUGUUUGACUUAUCCAUGUAGAUGUAUUCAUGUUCUAUCUGAGGUAUUACAAAUGAUUUAUAAUUUAUAUUCAUGUAUGUUCUGUCAUCUUGGUGUUUACUGUAUAUAUAUAUAUGCCACUAUGUAUCAUGUACCACCGUGGGUGGUUUCGAGAAAUAAAUGAUGAUGUUUGUCGACAA